rnacentral:rRNA from 1 species
UACGGAGGGUGCAAGCGUUAUCCGGAUUCACUGGGUUUAAAGGGUGCGUAGGUGGUUCUGUAAGUCAGUGGUGAAAGCCCGGAGCUCAACUCCGGAACUGCCAUUGAUACUGCUUAACUUGAAUCAACUUGAGGUGGAUGGAAUAUUACAUGUAGCGGUGAAAUGCUUAGAUAUGUAAUAGAACACCGAUUGCGAAGGCAGUUCACUAAGGUUGUAUUGACACUGAGGCACGAAAGCGUGGGGAUCAAACAGG